GGCAAGUGGGAGGAAGUGUCACAGCUCUUUUAUUUCUGCCACCCACAGCUUGGUGAGUAGGAGCAUUACAGCUCUUUUGCUCCCACAGUUCAGCAAAUUCUGAGUUCCUGUCCCAUGACCAAGAGGAAUGAGGAACAUGGACACCGGAGAAUGAGUAAGGCAGAGUAGAAUUUUAUUCAUCAGCGAGAGGGGACCUGAAAGCAGGUCGCCAUCUGUGAGGAUUAAAGUUAGGACCAAAUGCUGCUCAGAAAUUGUUUUAAUCUCAAAAGUAGUUGGCAAGUUUUCAGAGUUCAUUUUCAAGGCCUGGUGUAUGCAUUGGUUACAUGAAAACCGUGUGACAACCUUGGAAGUCUGAAAGAGCAGGAGAGAGGCUAAGCACACACAUAUUGUGAUUUUAAGAGUCUCAAGGGCUGACACAAGCUGAGAUGAGGAAAUAUGACCUCCUACACGUGUUUUCCAUGAGGAAUAUGUUUGCUGUGCAGUCACUGAGUUAAAAGCAACCUUCAUUCCCUUGUGCACCAAGGUAAUUUGGAAAACAAGCCAGAGAAGUCAGGACUGCUAUUUCUCAGUCUGAUUUAACCAUUGACAGACUAUUUUUACAUCCACUAUGGAGAUGUUCAGGUAGUGCCUCUCCAGAGCUGUAGAUGUCUUCCCAGGAUAUUCCAUCAUUCUACACAGCAUUUAAUUCUUGGAGCUCACAGUCCAAGACUGUUAUCAGUCCAUUUUCACUCUAUUGAUCAAGACAUACUCAAGACUGGGUAAUUUAUAAAGAAA
rnacentral:lncRNA from 1 species